rnacentral:lncRNA from 1 species
CGUCGGCUUCUGAUGAUUCGAAGUCGGUGAGGAGAUCGAGUUCUGAUGAUUUUUUAAUGGAGAAGGUGACCAUUUUGAGAAGAGGAGAGUCGCUCGAUUCGAAGAUAAAGACCGGCAACGGUGCCGGGGCGACGUCGUCGAAGAAGGAAGGUAAUAGUUUGGUGGUUAACGGUAGCGUGCGGACAGGUCGGUCCCCGGAAGUGAUGCCUAAGAUCCGGAUCGUCGAUUUUAAGACUCCGAUGGCUGGAAAGACCGAUGUGUACGCCGGAUCGGCGUUCGCGGUUUCUCCGGCACCGAGUUCGUUGCCUUUGCCGUCGUUUUCGACGAAAAAACAGAUCGCGGUUGACGACUCAGCAACUCGAGACAUCAAGCGUUUGCUCCGGCUCGAGCUAUGAGAUCUGGUUCAAGAACCGGGGCCGUCUUGAACCUUUUAACUUAAAUUCGUGUCUGUAUAACGUGUUCCUAUCGAUUUUCAAGGUCCGAUAUUCCUCGCGAUUUUUUUUAAACGGGGAAGGGUAGAUUUGAAAAUAAGGGAGAAAUGCGGGGCGAAUUAGGAAUUAUAUCGUGCUUGUCGUUUGUUGGUGUUGGUGGUGGUGUGUUAGAGAUGACGUAUUAUCUACGGGUCGUAAGGGUAAAUUAGGGGGCGGCGGUUGUUGUAUUUAUGGGAAUGGGGUAAAAUGGAAGAAGAGUUAAAAAUGAGGGGGUUGGAUUUAUAUUUUAUAAUAUGGGUUUAAAAAAAGGUCGGUGUGAAGAUAAUGUGAUGGGUUGGUUUUGUAUGUACUGUAUGUGCGGUCUGAAUGUUUUUCUGCUCUGUCGUG